GACAGAGGGUGCAAACGUUGUUCGGAAUUACUGGGCGUAAAGCGCGUGUAGGCGGCUCUGCAAGUCGGGUGUGAAAUCCCAUGGCUCAACCAUGGAAGUGCACUCGAAACUGCAGGGCUAGAGUCCUGGAGAGGAAGGUGGAAUGCUUGGUGUAGAGGUGAAAUUCGUAGAUAUCAAGCGGAACACCGGUGGCGAAGGCGGCCUUCUGGACAGUGACUGACGCUGAGGUGCGAAAGCGUGGGGAGCAAACAGG
rnacentral:rRNA from 1 species